GGACAAACCAAAACAGCAUGAGCUCACAUUCAGGUUGUUCAUGACAAAUAUCUAGGGGUUUAAAAGUUAGUUGUAAAUCAUACAACUUGUAUAGAACAUCUGCAAAACAAAGAAACAUUUGUCAUGCUUGUAUGAGAAUGUCACAAGAACUCAUACCGAGCAUCUUUUAAACAUUUUAAAUCAAUGUCACUGUCAGCUAUUUUAGAAAGCUCCUUUUUUUCUUUACUUUGCCUUUAAAUCUUUUGUUUGUAAAUGCAAUU